AUUGAACGCUGGCGGCAGGCCUAACACAUGCAAGUCGAGCGGGAGUAGCAAUACUCUAGCGGCGAACGGGUGAGGAAUGCUUGGGAAUCUGCCUAGUAGUGGGGGAUAACGUUCGGAAACGGACGCUAAUACCGCAUACGUCCUACGGGAGAAAGGGGGGGAUCUUCGGACCUCUCGCUAUUAGAUGAGCCCAAGCGGGAUUAGCUAGUUGGUGAGGUAAUGGCUCACCAAGGCAACGAUCCCUAGCUGGUCUGAGAGGAUGAUCAGCCACACUGGAACUGAGACACGGUCCAGACUCCUACGGGAGGCAGCAGUGGGGAAUAUUGGACAAUGGGCGAAAGCCUGAUCCAGCCAUGCCGCGUGUGUGAAGAAGGCCUUAGGGUUGUAAAGCACUUUAAGCGAGGAGGAAGGUUCGUCACCUAAUACGUGGCGGAAUUGACGUUACUCGCAGAAUAAGCACCGGCUAACUCUGUGCCAGCAGCCGCGGU
rnacentral:rRNA from 1 species